GACAGAGGCCUCGAGCGUUAGGCGGAAUCACUGGGCUUAAAGCGUGUGUAGGCGGAGGCGUAAGUACCUUGUGAAAUCCCACGGCUCAACCGUGGAACUGCUGGGGAUACUGCGUUUCUUGAGCCAUUUAGGGGCGAGUGGAACGGAUGGUGGAGCGGUGAAAUGCAUAGAUAUCAUCCGGAACGCCUGUGGUGAAGACGACUCGCUGGGAAUGUGCUGACGCUGAGACACGAAAGCCAGGGGAGCAAACGGG
rnacentral:rRNA from 1 species